AGAAAAUAGUUUAAACAAAACAUCAUACAGAUAAUAUGACAUCGUAGAAACCCAUUAACUACUUUUCUA
rnacentral:tRNA from 1 species